UGGGGAAUUUUGGACAAUGGGCGAAAGCCUGAUCCAGCAAUGCCGCGUGUGUGAAGAAGGCCUUCGGGUUGUAAAGCACUUUUGUCCGGAAAGAAAUCCUUGGCUCUAAUACAGUCGGGGGAUGACGGUACCGGAAGAAUAAGCACCGGCUAACUACGUGCCAGCAGCCGCGGUAAUACGUAGGGUGCAAGCGUUAAUCGGAAUUACUGGGCGUAAAGCGUGCGCAGGCGGUUUGCUAAGACCGAUGUGAAAUCCCCGGGCUCAACCUGGGAACUGCAUUGGUGACUGGCAGGCUAGAGUAUGGCAGAGGGGGGUAGAAUUCCACGUGUAGCAGUGAAAUGCGUAGAGAUGUGGAGGAAUACCGAUGGCGAAGGCAGCCCCCUGGGCCAAUACUGACGCUCAUGCACGAAAGCGUGGGGGAGCAAACAGGAUUAGAUACCCUGGUAGUCCACGCCCUAAACGAUGUCAACUAGUUGUUGGGGAUUCAUUUCCUUAGUAACGUAGCUAACGCGUGAAGUUGACCGCCUGGGGAGUACGGUCGGCAAGAUUAAAACUCAAAUGAAUUGACGGGG
rnacentral:rRNA from 1 species